rnacentral:rRNA from 1 species
UGAGGAAUAUUGGUCAAUGGGCGGGAGCCUGAACCAGCCAAGCCGCGUGAGGGAAGAAGGCCCUAUGGGUCGUAAACCUCUUUUGUCAGGGAACAAAAGCGAGUAUGUAUACUAGUCUGAGUGUACCUGAAGAAAAAGCAUCGGCUAACUCCGUGCCAGCAGCCGCGGUAAUACGGAGGAUGCGAGCGUUAUCCGGAUUUAUUGGGUUUAAAGGGUGCGUAGGCGGCGAUGCAAGUCAGCGGUAAAAGCCCGGGGCUCAACCCCGGCGAGCCGUUGAAACUGCAGUGCUAGAGAAGGCGAGAGGUACGCGGAAUGCGCAGUGUAGCGGUGAAAUGCUUAGAUAUUGCGCAGAACUCCGAUUGCGAAGGCAGCGUACUGGCGCCUGACUGACGCUGAAGCACGAAGGCGUGGGUAUCGAACAGGAUUAGAUACC